GACAGAGGGGACAAGCGUUGCUCGGAAUCACUGGGCGUAAAGGGCGCGUAGGCGGGAUGGCAAGUCGGUCGUGAAAUCCUUCGGCCCAACCGAAGAACGUCGGCCGAUACUGCCGUUCUUGAGGGAUGCAGAGGAGACUGGAAUUCCCGGUGUAGCGGUGAAAUGUGUAGAGAUCGGGAGGAACACCGGUGGCGAAGGCGGGUCUCUGGGCAUUUCCUGACGCUGAGGCGCGAAAGCGUGGGGAGCAAACGGG
rnacentral:rRNA from 1 species